rnacentral:rRNA from 1 species
CAGGGAUUGCCCUAGUAACGGCGAGUGAAGCGGCAACAGCUCAAAUUUGAAAUCUGGCUCUUUUAGAGUCCGAGUUGUAAUUUGCAGAGGGCGCUUUGGCUUUGGCAGCGGUCCAAGUUCCUUGGAACAGGACGUCACAGAGGGUGAGAAUCCCGUACGUGGUCGCUGGCUAUUGCCGUGUAAAGCCCCUUCGACGAGUCGAGUUGUUUGGGAAUGCAGCUCUAAAUGGGAGGUACAUUUCUUCUAAAGCUAAAUAUUGGCCAGAGACCGAUAGCGCACAAGUAGAGUGAUCGAAAGAUGAAAAGCACUUUGGAAAGAGAGUCAAACAGCACGUGAAAUUGUUGAAAGGGAAGCGCUUGCAGCCAGACUUGCUUGCAGUUGCUCAUCCGGGUUUUUACCCGGUGCACUCUUCUGUAGGCAGGCCAGCAUCAGUUUGGGCGGUAGGAUAAAGGUCUCUGUCACGUACCUCCUUUCGGGGAGGCCUUAUAGGGGAGACGACAUACUACCAGCCUGGACUGAGGUCCGCGCAUCUGCUAGGAUGCUGGCGUAAUGGCUGUAAGCGGCCCGUCUUGAAACACGGACCAAGGAGUCUAACAUCUAUGCGAGUGUUUGGGUGUCAAGCCCGAGCGCGUAAUGAAAGUGAACGGAGGUGGGAACCCGCAAGGGUGCACCAUCGACCGAUCCUGAUGUCUUCGGAAGGAUUUGAGUAAGAGCAUGGCUGUUGGGACCCGAAAGAUGGUGAACUAUGCUUGAAUAGGGUGAAGCCAGAGGAAACUCUGGUGGAGGCUCGCAGCGGUUCUGACGUGCAAAUCGAUCGUCAAAUUUGGGCAUAGGGGCGAAAGACUAAUCGAACUAUCUAGUAGCUGGU